rnacentral:rRNA from 1 species
UGAGGAAGAUAAUGACGGUACUCAACAAGGAAGUGACGGCUAACUACGUGCCAGCAGCCGCGGUAAAACGUAGGUCACAAGCGUUGUCCGGAAUUACUGGGUGUAAAGGGAGCGCAGGCGGGAGAUCAAGUUGGAAGUGAAAUCCAUGGGCUCAACCCAUGAACUGCUUUCAAAACUGGUUUUCUUGAGUAGUGCAGAGGUAGGCGGAAUUCCCGGUGUAGCGGUGGAAUGCGUAGAUAUCGGGAGGAACACCAGUGGCGAAGGCGGCCUACUGGGCACCAACUGACGCUGAGGCUCGAAAGUGUGGGUAGCAAACAGGAUUAGAUACCCUGGUAGUCCACACCGUAAACGAUGAUUACUAGGUGUUGGARGAUUGACCCYUUCAGUGCCGCAGUUAACACAAUAAGUAAUCCACCUGGGGAGUACGACCGCAAGGUUGAAACUCAAAGGAAUUGACGGGGGCCCGCACAAGCAGUGGAGUAUGUGGUUUAAUUCGACGCAACGCGAAGAACCUUACCAAGUCUUGACAUCCCUUGACGAUGCUGGAAACAGUAUUUCUCUUCGGAGCAAGGAGACAGGUGGUGCAUGGUUGUCGUCAGCUCGUGUCGUGAGAUGUUGGGUUAAGUCCCGCAACGAGCGCAACCCUUAUGGUCAGUUACUACGCAAGAGGACUCUGGCCGGACU